rnacentral:rRNA from 1 species
CCUACGGGUGGCAGCAGUGGGGAAUAUUGCGCAAUGGGCGAAAGCCUGACGCAGCGACGCCGCGUGAGGGAUGAAGGUCUUCGGAUCGUAAACCUCUGUCAGCAGGGAAGAACGGUCACGGUGCUAAUCAGCAGUGAAUUGACGGUACCUGCAAAGGAAGCACCGGCUAACUCCGUGCCAGCAGCCGCGGUAAUACGGAGGGUGCGAGCGUUAAUCGGAAUUACGGGGCGGAAAGCGCUCCUAGGCGGUAUGUCCAGUCAAGGGUGAAAUCCCCGCGCUCAACCUGGGAACUGCCUUUGAAACUGGCAAACUGGAGUGUGUGUGAGGAUAGUGGAAUUCCAGGUGU